UGAUUGAAAACAAAUAUUGGAGGAAACGAGUAACACUCGAGCGUGGCCCACGCGGAGAAAUUUUCCGCGUGUGCCGUUCAGACUUUGAACUAUACUUUCAGAUGAACCAAAAUUCGAUUUAUAUGAAUUUGUUGAAAGUCUGUCAGAUCUCGGGGGAUGUUGUAAACGAUCAACAUAAAUCCUUUAUGAUCAAGAAUACCACGCUGACAAUGGAUUUAUACUCGAGAAGCCUGUCAAAAGAUAUGGUGUAGAAAAACUCCGAGUUUUGGCCUCGCAAGGUGGUGUUAUCAAAAUCACAAGGGACGCAAGUGUUCAAGACAUGCAAAAUAAGUAC